UACGUAGGGACCGAGCGUUGUCCGGAAUCAUUGGGCGUAAAGAGCGUGUAGGCGGCUAGAUAGGUCCGUUGUGAAAACUCGAGGCUCAACCUCGAGACGUCGAUGGAAACCAUCUAGCUAGAGUCCGGAAGAGGAGAGUGGAAUUCCUGGUGUAGCGGUGAAAUGCGCAGAUAUCAGGAAGAACACCCGUGGCGAAGGCGGCUCUCUGGUACGUGACUGACGCUGAGACGCGAAAGCGUGGGGAGCAAACAGG
rnacentral:rRNA from 1 species